rnacentral:lncRNA from 10 species
GACACAGGCUCCUGCUUGGUCACCCAGGCUGGAGUGCAGUGGUGCAAUCAUAUCUCACUGCAGCCUCCAAUUCCUAGGCUCAAGAGAUCCUCCUGCCUCAGCCUCCCAAGUAGCUGGGACCACAGGUGUGCACUAAAUUUUUUUUUCUUUUUGAGACAGAGUCUUGCUCUGUCGCCCAGGCUGAAGUGCAAUGCUGUGAUCUUGGCUCACUGCAAUCUCUACCUCCUGGGUUCAAGUGAUUCUCCUGCUUCAGCCUCCUGAGUAGCUGGGAUUACAGGAGUCUGCCACCACACCCGGCUAAUUUUUUGUAUUUUUACUAGAGACAGGGUUUCACCAUAUUGGCCAGGCUGGUCUCGAACUCCUGACCUCAGGUGAUCUGCCUGUCUUGGCCUCCCAAAGUGCUGGGAUUACAGGCGUGAGCCACAUUUCCUGACUCAAAAUUUUUAAAAUAAAAUAAUUUAUCAUGCCAGGCCAAAAAAUUAAAAAUAAUUUUUUUUUUUGAAACGGAGUCUCACUCUGUCACCCAGGCUGGAGUGCAGUGGCAUGAUCUCAGCUCACUGCAAGCUCCGCUUCCUGGGUUCAUGCCAUUCUCCUGCCUCAGCCUCCCGAGUAGCUGGGACUACAGGCGUCCACCACCACACCCGGCUAAUUUUUUGUAUUUUUAGUAGAGAUGGGGUUUCACUGUGUUAGCCAGUAUGGUCUCGAUCUCCUGACCUCGUGAUCCACCCACCUCGGCCUCCCAAAGUGCUGGGAUUACAGGCAUGAGCCACUGUGGCCGGCCUAAAAAUAAUUCAAAAAAUUAUUUUACAGACAGAGUCUUGCUCUGUUGCCCAGGCUGAUCUUGAACUCCUGGCCUCAAGCGAUCCUCCCCGCCUCAGCCUCCCGAGCUCGGCUUGAGGGUGGAGUUUCAGGAACUGAGUAGGGAAGGGCCAUGAGCCUGGUGGGGGUCUCAGCUCCAGCUGCUGCUCUUCUGACCUGGGGUGUGUGGGGAGUGGCUAAGAAAACAGACAGGAGCCAGGCAUCCCCAGUUCAAAUCCCAGACAGUGGGCCUCUCUGCCUCAGUUUCCCUCUGUAGAAUAGGGAUGAUGGCGCCCACUCCCCAGUGUAGUGUGUGUGGGAGUAAACCACAUGACUGCUGUCCGGUGUGCCUGAGCAUUUACUGCCAUCUUCAUUUCUUCUUCUUUUAUUUAUUUAUUUAUUUUAUUUUUUUUCUGAGACAGAGUCUCUCUCUGUCGCCCAGGCUGGAGUGCGAUGGCACGAUCCUGGCUCACUGCAACCUCCACCUCCCGGGUUCAAGCAAUUCCUCUGCCUCAGUCUCCAGAGUAUCUGGGAUUACAGGCACCCGCCACCAAGCCCGGCUGAUUUUUUUGUAUUUUUGUAGAGACGGGGACAGAGAGGAGAAAGGAGACAAGCUGGAGAGAGAGAGGGAGACAGAGAGGAGAAAGAAGACAGCUAGAGAAAUAUAAGACAGAGGAGACAGAGACACGGAGAGAUAGAGACAGACAGAGAGACAGAAAUUACAUGGUGAUAGAGAGAGGUGGAGAGAGAAACAAGGGGCCCAUAAAGAGCAGAAGGGGAAACAGGAGGAGAUGGGACAGAGAGAACAGAGAGACAGAGAGAUAAACAGUGAGGAAGAAAGAAAACCAUGAGAAAGGAGGGUGGAUGGAAACAGAGGGGAAGGGCAGGGGAACGGAGGGCGUUGGGAUAUGAGCGGCAGGUGGGGCCUGGGGCGGGCUGGGAGGGGACGUCCAGUCCCUGCCGAUCUGGGAAUACUGGGGACCCCAAUAAUCCAGGGAGACCUGAAGGGGGGUGUCGGGCAGAGGGAUGGGGACCAGGACAACGGCUGGGCAUGAGUCACUUCCUGGGCCUAAGGGAAGGAAUGACUCACCACUCAUUUGCCCCAAUUCAACCCUGGAGGGGCUUCCAGGGGAAUUUUGGGGUCUGUUAUGAGCACAGCUUCAGAGGGCGGGUGUUUGGGGUGCAGAUUGGAGGUCCCCGGACCACUCAGCCACUGUGUUCAAAUUUAGUACCCCUUAGGUGGGUGGAAGGCAGAGAUCCCCACUCCCACCUCCACACUCCUUCCAGCUGGGUUAA